AGAGUUUGAUCAUGGCUCAGGACGAACGCUGGCGGCAUGCCUAACACAUGCAAGUCGAACGGAGAAUUCCUUCGGGGAUUCUUAGUGGCGAACGGGUGAGUAACGCGUAGGCAACCUGCCCUUUGGAUGGGGACAACAUUCCGAAAGGAGUGCUAAUACCGAAUGUGACGAUUAUACCGCAUGGUUUAAUCGUGAAAGAUGGCCUCUACAUGUAAGCUAUCGCCAAAGGAUGGGCCUGCGUCUGAUUAGCUAGUUGGUGGGGUAACGGCUCACC
rnacentral:rRNA from 1 species